rnacentral:rRNA from 1 species
CCCUUAGAUGUUCUGGGCCGCACACGCGCUACACUGAUGCAUUCAACGAGUUUCUUCCUGGUCCGAGAGGAAUGGGUAACCUUUUGAAAGUGCAUCGUGAUAGGGAUAGACUAUUGCAAUUAUUGGUCUUCAACGAGGAAUUCCUAGUAGACGUAGUUCAUCAGACUGCAUCGAUUACGUCCCUGCCCUUUGUACACACCGCCCGUCGCUCCUACCGAUUGAAUGCUCAGGUGAGCCAUUCGGACCUUCAUCAUGCCGGUUUCCGGUUUUGAUGAGGGAAAGUCUUGCGAACCUUAUCAUUUAGAGGAAGGAGAAGUCGUAACA